rnacentral:lncRNA from 1 species
UACGAGACUGAAAAAAAAUAAGGGUUAAGUUCAAAUGACCGCCUGGGGUUUGAGCGGUUUCCCACUUAACUACCUGUAGUCAGUAAAACUACAUUUAAACACCCGACUUUUUGAGUUGAAAUGAAAAACUGAUUUCUGUCAUAACUCUGUUACUUAAGUUGCAUAAAAACUUAAUUACCCUCGUUAUAUAUAAAAGACAGAUGCUUGUUCAUCUCUCUCUCUCUCUCUCUCUCUGUUUUUCUAACAAACAAAAAAUAGAGUAAACACCUUAAUCAACUCAAAUGCAGCGAAACAAUAAUUCCUCGUUAUAUAUAAAUGUUUUCACCAAAUAAAUCUCACAAUCAUUCCUCGUUAAAUUCUAUCAAAACUCUGUAUUGAAGUUAUAAAGCAUAUAUACUACAAAUAUUAAGGGAACCCCAAAACAGAGCAAAUAAUAUACAAGUUCUUGCCAUUCGUAGCUUUUUACCCAUAUGGGGAUUCAUUCCAUUUUGCAUAAGAAGUCUCAGAAAUCUUCUUGUAGCUGUUUUUGGAUUUGAUUUUAUAAUUCCACAUUGAGGAAUGAUAUUUGGAUCCGUCACAACUUAGUAAAGGAAAUUCCUGCAGUUAUCAAAUCUCCUCUUUUGAUUAUGCUGCCAAAAGAGGAAAUAGAAAUCAAUGAUUUUCAAAUUCAGUAAGGCUCAGAUUUAUUUAAGUGGCUGCUUUUGAUUCGUUUGGUUGAUUCAUGAGUAUUGAAAGAAACUAUUGUUUCUUUACAAAUAAAACAAAACAUAGACAAAAAACUAUUAUUAAUGCAAAGCAACCAAGCUUAUUUGUCAAAGAUAUUGGACAUUUCGGUUUCAAUAACUGUAAUUGAAAUAAGAUUUGAAAAAGAAGAAGAAGAUAAUUUUCAUUACCAUUCCAAUGUUGCGAUCCCAUUUUAGGAAAUGCAUCAAAGUUUUAAUCUUUCUAUAACAAUGAUUGAUAUCAGUGAAUGAACUUAUACCAACAGAUCUACACUAAGGACUAAUCUACAUAACAGGUAAAAAAAAAACAUCAAAUUCAGCUAAAAACACACCAAUUGGUGAUUAAAUGAAUAUCAACCGGAGAUUAUAAAAAGCAACCAGAUCCACCAACACUAAAAGAGCAGAAAAACUCACUGAGAUUGGAGUGACGGGCUGUGAAUAGAUCUGGAAUUGGAGUAUGUAUAAAGAUUCUGUUGAACAGCACAAAAAAACAGAUCUAUAAAGGGAUUGCAAACAAUACAAUAACUUUAUGUCUGCUUACCUCUUGCAAAAAGACCCCUAUGCAAAUUACAGAAUCCUCCAACAACAAGACUAAAUUUAAAUACUCACCACCAAUCUUCAAAAUUUUACACCCAAAUUCACACAAAUAACCCAAAAUCUCUUACAUGAAUUUCAACAAUUGUGCCAUCAAAUUGAACCAAAUAGCACUUGAUAAUGUUUGUGUAUUAAAGAACAAUAACAAGACAACAAAUCACUGAAAAGUUGCAAUAAACUCUGAAAUUUUUAGAAGAUAAAGAAAACGCAGAUCAAAAUUAAUUUGUGGAAUCAUUCUCCCCAAAAUUCACUAAAAAGUUGCAGUAAAAAACUCUAAAAAUGUAUGAGUUUUUUAGAGGAAAAAGAAAACCCAAAAAAAUCCAGAUGGAGAUUUAUUUGUGGAAUCAUUCUCCCCAAAAUUCGCACUAAAAAGUUGCAGUAAAAAACUCUAAAAAUGUCCCCAAAAAAGUUGCAAUAAAAAAGUCUAAGAAUUUUUUAGUGAAAAAAAAAACCCAGAUGGGGAUUGAUUCGUGGAAUGAAGCAAAUAUACCCAGAUGGGGAUUCAUCAGUAUGUUCUCCGAUAUCGUAGCUCUUGUCAUUCCCGUUCGACAGUGGGACCGAAGAGCCAAACGGAGUGGAGUCAGGGUAGAUAGGGCUUGGAUCCAAGCCGAAUCCAUAGCCAACGGAGGAACGGUUGCGGAGGAAAAGUUGGAGUAUGUUGAGUCGUCGAAAUCUCCAUUUUCUUCUAAGAAAUUUCUGUAAAUCUUUUGCUUGAAAUGAGAGAGAAAUGAGAGAGAGAGAGAGAGAACGCAAGAGUGAGAAAUGGUGGAGAAGACUGUGGUUUGAAGAAGAAGAAGGGUGUUUUAGACAUUUUCUAGUUUUGUUUUUAUUGUUACGCCCUCUUAUUACGC